rnacentral:lncRNA from 1 species
AUGUAUAUUUUAGAAGAUUCGCCUCCCCACUUCCACACCAGGCCCGCCUCUGCUGCCAGGCAGGUUUAUGAGGAAGAUCCAGUGCCCUCCAGAGAAGGAAGGUCGAAUGAGGCAGCAAAGGUCCAGCCCGCAGCAUGGGGCCCGGCACCGAGCUCUGUAAUUACUGUUCCCAUGUCCAGCUCAGCAUCGCCUGAUAUUACACUUGGAAAACAGAGUCCUCGAAGGCCGAGGCCUGCUUUUAUAGUCUCUGUGGUCCCUCCAGGGCCCAUGCAGAGCGGGGGCCAGCCAGUGUUUGCUGCUCUGGGCUGCUGUGGACAUCAGGUGAUGGUGGCAGGAAAGCGGCUCGGAUGGAUAGAGAGCAAAGGCCCAGGGCUGAGGGCACAGAAGACACAUUUCCAGCCUGGAAAUUGGGAGCCCUUGGGAUGGAGCCUGUCCUGAAAUGGAAGACAUAUGGAUUCAAACUCUGACCUCAGAUGGCUGCCAAACCUAAAGACAGUGGUGUGCCAGUAAAUGUUUAACAACUGGCUCCCGGGUUGGGGGUGGGUGGUGGUGGUGGGGGUAUUUUGUAUCCUGAUUGGUAGCAUUUGCCUGUUUCUGUGGUACAUGUCUUCUCACUGUGGCCAAUUCCAAGGUACCAACAUGAAGCCACAGAACACAGAGCUGGGAAGAGAUGUGUAUCAGUGGCUCUCAGGAGCCUGUGGGAGCUGGUUCCAGCACGCCUCUACCUAACGACCUCUUAGUGCUGACCCCUUCUGAUCUCCCUGCAGUACUUGACCAUUCCCUGGGCUUCUGAGGCUGCGAGCGUCUCCUGGUCCGCCUCCUUGAGGCUGCCCGUCACUGCUCUGUGGAUCCGUCCUACCACCGCCCACAGAGCAGCAGGUCUUGGUUCUGACUAUGCUCGCUUAGGGAACGUUGAAAACUCCUGAUGCCCAGAUCUUUCUCCAGACCACUUAAAUCAGGAUCAGUAGUUUUUGAAGCUCCUUAGGUGAUUCCAACGUGCAGCCAAGUUGGAGAACCACUGUUUUAAAAAAAAUGCCAACGCUGGUUUCCACUCCAGCCCAGUUGGAUCAGGCUCCUCUGGAAGGGGCCUUGUCUCAUUUGUGUGACUGCCAAGCUUGCCAGAUGAAGCCCACGUGGAGCCACCACUGAGAUUCACCUUCACAGAGGGCCCCUGGGCCCUGCCCUCACCUCUUCCCUCCAAGCACUCACCAUUCUCCCCAGGCGACCUCAUCUCCUGUAACGUCCACUUCUCCUGUGCCAGUUCCCAGCUCUGAUCUUUUUGCUGAAUGCUUCCUGCCUUGCCAUACCCAUCUGGAGCACCCCAGCCUCAGCCCACCUUGUCUACCCCCUAACUCAGAGCCUCCAGCCAUUCCCUGUCUUCUCUGUUUAUGCCCCACCUCAGGAUACGGCACUCCUACCGUACCCAGCGCCUGCCUCGUCCUCGCUGUCCGCCUGUCCUGGCCUGCGUCUGGGGAAGUCUGCAGUCCGUAGCUGUUCCCAUUCCCGUUCAAGCGACCCCACAGCUCUGGCCUGGGCAUUCUGGAAGUUUCUGUCUGCACUCCUACGCCCUGCACUGCUGGAAGGCUGAUCUUCCUGAAUUGCUCCUCUCCUUGAGCGCAGGCCCUGGCUGCCCGGCCUACGUCAGGUGCACGUGUAAGCCUUCCCAGCUGUCCUUUGUACAAGCAUCUCUCUUCACGCCUUCACGGCCUCACUAAACUGUUCAAUGUUCCCCUUCAGAUGCCCAGUGUCCCCCUGCCUUUGUUCCCGCUGGCCAUCAGCCUUCUUCCCUUCUCUACCCAGGGACACCGUUUAUCCUAUAAAGGCUCAGCUCCAGUGUCACCUCCUCCAUGAGGACUCCUUGAUCCCAUCCACAGAAAGAAUCGUUCCCACACCAGAGCCUGCUCUGUGUUGUGAGCAGUGCUUUAUGCUCCUGCCCCCGGUGGAUUAUUUCAAUUUCUGUUUCUGCGUCUGUUCUCUAUAGCAUCUGUAUAGACUCCUAGUAUUUAACAAAGCACCCAGCAGAGAGGAGGUGCCUACUAUGUGUCGUGCUAUGAAUUGAUUAGUUUAAUUAAUUAAUGAUUCAUCAGCAGGUGUUAUUGGUUGAGUUGAGUCCCCCCGAAAAUUCAUAUGUCGGAAUCCUCAGUACCUCAGAAUACGACCUUAUCUGGAGAGAGGGUCUUUAGAGAGGUAAUUAAGUUAAAAUGAGGUCAUUAGGGCGAUUCCUAACCCCACACGACUGAUGUCCUUAUAAAAAGGGGAUAUUUGGACACACAUGGACACAUGAAGAUGAAGCCAAAAACUGGGUGAUACUUCUACAAGCCAAGGAAUGCCAAAGAUUGCCAGCCAACCACCAGAGGCUGGGGAGAGGCAUGGAACAGGUCCACCUCCACUGCCCUCAGAAGGAGCUGACUCCGCCAAUACCUUGAUCUCAGACUUUCAGCCUCCAAAACUGUGGGACAAUGAGUUUCUGUUGCUUAGAGCCACUCAGUUUGUAGGACUUUGUCAUGGCAGCUAUAACAAACUAAUACAGCAGGUGAACAGUGCAUCCCAGAACUUUGAUCCAAACUUACGAAAACCAGGACCAGUUCAAGGAUCAUCUUAUUCUACAAAUGUCUAUCGCAUGCUUACUGUUGGCAAGGCACUGUCGUAGGUCUUGGAGAUAGAGUAUUAAACAGAAUGAUGGACAAGGUCCUUUCUCUCCUUGAGCUUCUUUUCCAGUGGGGGAGACAGGCAAUAAAUAAACAAAGAAGUAAAUAGCUAAUGAUGAC